rnacentral:rRNA from 1 species
AUUGAACGCUGGCGGCAGGCUUAACACAUGCAAGUCGAGCGGAGAUGAGGUGCUUGCACCUUAUCUUAGCGGCGGACGGGUGAGUAAUGCUUAGGAAUCUGCCUAUUAGUGGGGGACAACAUUCCGAAAGGAACGCUAAUACCGCAUACGCCCUACGGGGGAAAGCAGGGGAUCUUCGGACCUUGCGCUAAUAGAUGAGCCUAAGUCGGAUUAGCUAGUUGGUGGGGUAAAGGCCUACCAAGGCGACGAUCUGUAGCGGGUCUGAGAGGAUGAUACGGCAACCUGGGACUGAGACACCGCCCAGACUGCUACGGGAAGCAGCAGUGGGGAAUAUUGGACAAUGGGUGGAAGCCUGAUCCAGACAUGCCGCGUGUGUGAAGAAGGCCUUUUGGUUGUAAAGCACUUUAAGCGAGGAGGAGGCUACCUGGAUUAAUACUCUAGGAUAGUGGACGUUACUCGCAGAAUAAGCACCGGCUAACUCAGUGCCAGCAGCCGCCGUAACAC